GAUGAACGCUGGCGGCGUGCCUAAUACAUGCAAGUCGAGCGAACAGAUGAGGAGCUUGCUCCUCUGACGUUAGCGGCGGACGGGUGAGUAACACGUGGAUAACCUACCUAUAAGACUGGGAUAACUUCGGGAAACCGGAGCUAAUACCGGAUACUAUAUUGAACCGCAUGGUUCAAUAGUGAAAGACGGUUUUGCUGUCACUUAUAGAUGGAUCCGCGCCGCAUUAGCUAGUAGUGAAGGUAACGGCUUACCAAGGCGACGAUGCGUAGCCUACCUGAGAGGGAGAUCGACAACACUAGAACUACGACACAGUCCAGACGCCUACGGGCGGCACCAGUAGGGAAUCUUCCGCCAUAGACGAAUACGUGACGGAUCAUCGCCGCGUGCGUCAUGAAGGUCUUCGGACCGUAAAACACUGUUAUUAGGGAAGAACAAAGGUGUAAGUAACUAGGCACGUCUUGACGGUAACUAUUCAGAAAGCCACGAGUAACUACGUG
rnacentral:rRNA from 1 species